AUGGCGCCGGACAAGAGGAGGAACGUGUCCAAGAGGAAGCAGGACUGCAGCCAUUGGUGCCUCCCCGGCGUGCCCGACGCGUGGAACGAGCUCAUCUACGCGUCGCUCGUCUUGGAGCCCAAUCCCAGCUCAUGGGACUAA
rnacentral:rRNA from 1 species